rnacentral:rRNA from 1 species
UACGUAGGAUCCAAGCGUUAUCCGGAUUUACUGGGCGUAAAGCGUGUGUAGGCGGUGCGUUAAGUGGGAUGCGAAAUCGGGUGGCUCAACCAUGUCGACUGUAUCCUAUACUGGCGUGCUAGAGGACGGCAGAGGCUAGUGGAAUUUGCGGUGUAGCAGUGAAAUGCGUAGAUAUCGCAAGGAACACCAAUGGCGAAGGCAGCUAGCUGGGCCGUCCCUGACGCUGAGACACGAAAGCGUGGGGA